rnacentral:rRNA from 1 species
UACAGAGGUCCCAAGCGUUGUUCGGAUUCACUGGGCGUAAAGGGUGCGUAGGCGGUUGGGUAAGUCUGAUGUGAAAUCUCACAGCUUAACUGUGAAACUGCAUUGGAUACUAUCCGGCUAGAGGAAUGGAGGGAGACUGGAAUACUUGGUGUAGCAGUUGAAUGCGUAGAUAUCAAGUGGAACACCAGUGGCGAAGGCGAGUCUCUGGACAUUUCCUGACGCUGAGGCACGAAAGCCAGGGGAGCAAACGGG